GGAAAUGGAAAAUAAAAACAAGAAUGUAUGGCUAGCCAACAUUGAUCAGAUGGUUGGUCGGUCCAUUGAUAAUAUGAAGUUAUCUCUUGUCACUUUCAGAGAAUGGUUUUUCUCUUCUCUAGGGAGUAUGGGUCUAAUAUGACUACUACUAUGCGUCUAUGCGCCUAUGACUAUGAGUCUAUGAGUAAGGGACUUUUGCUUAAGUAUCACCAACCAAAGACUAGAUGAAUAAAUUCUGCAGAUAAUUCUUAUUACUCAUCUCUCUAGCUGCUAUAAGUGAGAUCUAUACUAAAAUUGUAUAUCUACAUAU